UACGGGGGGUGCGAGCGUUGUCCGGAAUCACUGGGCGUAAAGGGCGCGUAGGUGGCUUUGUAAGUUUGCGGUGAAAGCCCGGGGCUCAACCCCGGGUCUGCCGUGGAUACUGCAAGGCUUGAGUACUGUAGAGGCAGGUAGAAUAUCGGGUGUAGCGGUGGAAUGCGUAGAGAUCCGAUAGAGGACCGGUGGCGAAGGCGGCCUGCUGGGCAGUAACUGACACUGAGGCGCGACAGCGUGGGGAGCAAACAGG
rnacentral:rRNA from 1 species